AUGAGCAACAGCGCUUUACUGGUGCGUAUGCUGAUGUGUACAGGUAAUAUGUAGGUUAUGCGCACAUGCCAUAAGGAAAACGGGGUUAUGGGUAGAAGGAGGGAAACGAAGAAGGGCAAGGAAAGAGAAAGAAAUAGGGAGGAGGCAGAGAGCACAUCUCUUUCCAAACAGCACUGCAAAUCUUGCAUGAUUGUGGUGCUAUCAUUGACGAUAUUUGUGGGAAACUGAAGAACAGGCACGAAACCACAUUUACUACAACUUGGCUGCAGAGGUGCUGCAAAUGCAUAUAGCAGCAGUCAUUAUGGUUCAACACUGUCGCGCAAGCUCUUAGUCUUUUAUGGGCAGCAGCAGAUCGUUGCCAGCAAACCUCUGCUGGAUUAGGACAGUCAAUAUAUGACGCUGCGAAAGUUAUGGUAGUGAAGCUACCAUUACCUUUGUCACCAUGGCCAACCAACAGUAUUCCUCGGAUCAUUUCUCUUACUCACCUGCCUCCAGAAUCCCAAGCUCCUGAACCACAAGUACCAGUUCCUGGCAUCAUAUGA